UACAUGUGGGGCAAGCGUUGUUCGGAAUUACUGGGCAUAAAGGGUGCGUAGGUGGCUUGUUAAGUCAGGGGUGAAAGUUUUCGGCCCAACCGGAAAAUGGCCUUUGAUACUGGCGAGCUCGAGUGCGUGAGGGGUAACCGGAACGAGCAGUGUAGCGGUGAAAUGCGUAGAUAUGCUCGGAAGGCCAACGGCGAAGGCAGGUUACUGGUGCGCAACUGACACUGAGGCACGGAAAGCGU
rnacentral:rRNA from 1 species